CUACGGGCGGCACCAGUGAGGAAUAUUGCACAGUGGGGGGAACCCUGAUGCAGCAACGCCGCGUGGAGGAUGACGCAUUUCGGUGUGUAAACUCCUUUUAUAUGUCAAGAAAAUGACGGUAGCAUAUGAAUAAGCACCGGCUAACUCCGUGCCAGCAGCCGCGGUAAUACGGAGGGUGCAAGCGUUACUCGGAAUCACUGGGCGUAAAGGACGCGUAGGCGGGUUGGAAAGUCAGGUGUGAAAUCCUACAGCUUAACUGUAGAACUGCACUUGAAACUUCUAAUCUAGAGUAUGGGAGGGGGAGAUGGAAUUAGUGGUGUAGGGGUAAAAUCCGUAGAUAUCACUAGGAAUACCUAAAGCGAAGGCGAUCUCCUGGAACAUUACUGACGCUAAGGCGUGAAAGCGUGGGGAGCAAACAGGAUUAUACCCCUGUAGUC
rnacentral:rRNA from 1 species